rnacentral:rRNA from 1 species
CAGCAGCCGCGGUAAUACGGAGGGUGCAAGCGUUAUCCGGAUUCACUGGGUUUAAAGGGUGCGUAGGCGGAUAGGUAAGUCCGUGGUGAAAUCUCUCGACUUAAUCGGGAAACUGCCGUGGAUACUAUUUAUCUUGAAUGUUGUGGAGGUUAACGGAAUAUGUCAUGUAGCGGUGAAAUGCUUAGAUAUGACAUAGAACACCAAUUGCGAAGGCAGUUAACUACACAAAUAUUGACGCUGAUGCACGAAAGCGUGGGGAUCAAACAGGAUUAGAUACCCUGGUAGUCCACGCCCUAAACGA